CACCUUCAGAGUUCUGCAGUCUCUCUAUAUCGAACAUACAAAAAACCAAGUUGAAAUAAACAGGAGAUGGGUAACUGUGGAGGCUUUAAACUGUCUGUACCAUCAUGAGAGAGCCUGAAAAUAAAAUAAAGCACAGCAAGAUUGAUGAUUUUUGUAAUUCUCCCAGCAUACUUCUCCCUUCUUCUGCAUUAUUUGCAAAGUUCUUUUAUCUCUAAACAUACCAAUAAUUAAAUUAUGUUCAUCUGACCCUGAAUACUGUAACUGGGUAAAAAGAACUCCAUGUU